rnacentral:lncRNA from 1 species
UUGAAUUAGAAAGAUGCCACCCAGGAAACCAGGGAAGAGACUGUUUUUAGGAGUUGACUGCUCAGAACCUAUCCGCUUUGAUUGAUAAGAAACCCUUCUUACUUUACAUUAUAAGAGAUCUUUUUGCCGCCCAUUAUUUAGAAUUAAGAAUUACCUCCUUAAGAGGGUCUCUUAUAAAAACGAAAGUAGGCAAAGAAAC